UACAGAGGUCUCAAGCGUUGUUCGGAUUCAUUGGGCGUAAAGGGUGCGUAGGUGGGGCGAUAAGUCAGUGGUGAAAUCCUGCAGCUCAACUGUAGAAUUGCCAUUGAUACUGCCGCUCUUGAGUACGCUUGACGUGGGCGGAAUGUGCCGUGUAGCGGUGAAAUGCUUAGAUAUGGCACAGAACACCGAUAGUGAAGACAGCUCACGAAGGCGAAACUGACACUGAGGCACGAAAGCGUGGGGAUCGAACAGG
rnacentral:rRNA from 1 species